GGGUACUAUCCAGGGGCUGCUUCCUGCGUGGACCUGCUGCCCAAACCCAGUUCCGUGAUACAAAGAUGCGUCCCUACUCGUUUUAUUUACUCAAGAGGAAACACCCAAGAGUCACUGUGAGAGUUCCUCAAGGAAAGAAACGGCACCUGAACGUUCAACCCCUUUUCAGGCGUAGACCUGAAGAACACAGCUGGCUGCAAUAGGUCUGGAUUGGGAGAUGCAGAGGUGUAUUAAUGUAUGUGUAUGUCUUUUCUCUCUUCAAGUUAAACUCCGACCAGGAUAAAAUCCCCAAGAGAAGGAGACUCACCU
rnacentral:lncRNA from 1 species